rnacentral:lncRNA from 1 species
GUUGAAUUUGGGUGCGUGACGUAACGGGGAAAAUAAGGGAACGAUUAUGUCUGCCAGAGAGGAGAAUGGCUGGGAGGGUUGCUAGGCUGGGUGAAGCGCAGGUCCUUGAGAAACUUCGGGAGCGCAACGGCCACCACCGCGUGUAUGUGUGGCGUCUCUCGCGAUCCCCUGCAUUCCCGCCCUACGGCAGUAGUUCUGGCCAUGAUUCCGAGCAGGGACAAGGCCCAGGAGCCCUCACUCUAACCACGAAGCUCUGUGGCCGACACCGCAGCAGUGCACAACCACGUCAGGGGACGAGUUGGGGUUAGACUGCGUGAAACCGGGACCGCAAAGUUCCUGUGCGGAACAGGGGCCGUUAAUGCGGCAGAUGCAUUCCACCUCAGUCCCUCCCUUUCUGACUCUUCCCCUCUCUGCGAGCCAACGUGCGUGUUCUCUCUCUCUCUCUCUCUCUCUCUCUCUCUCUUACGGAAGGAGCUCGGUGCCCCUAUCAUUCUACAGAACCUGGGAACCGGCAUGGCGAUUUUGUCAUUUCUCCUACAUACUAUUAUCGUUCGGGCCGUUGGAGCUGUGUUUGACGACCUGGUGAUUAAGAAGAACUGUUCGGAGCUGAGGAAGGGAGAGCGGUACCACAUCGCGACUGCAGAGAUACUGGGGUGGAGUCCAGACUCUUGCGAUCAGGAGUGGAACCUGCAGUGGCCCUUCCUGUGGUGCUGCUGCUGCUGCUGCUGCUAUCUGCUAUAGUUUUCAGAAGUUGCCAGAGGAAGGACCUUACACACUUGAGGCUGGCACCAUGGUGCUGUCUCAGUCCCAGCCUCCAAAUGCUUGAGAGGCCCAGCUGCCAGGUUCCAGAUGUGUGCAUCAGUCCCCCUCAACCAGCUGUUAGAUGGUGUCAGAGAGAGGAAUUUUAUCUAACCCAAGCAGUUUGACAAUGUAACAGAUCACUUAUGAUUGGUCCUCUACAUUUGUUUUCCCCAUCUUACAAAAGUAACAGUCAGACUCACCCACACAGCCCAGCUGUGUUUCACAUCCAUUUUUACAAUGUUUUCCUAAUCUUUUAACACUUUUAUGUGAACUGCAAAGUUUAAUUAUGCAGUAAAUAUAUAUAAUAAAUACUUUUAAAUGUCUCUGGGUGUUUAAGGU